CGGAGUAUAGCGCAGCCUGGUAGCGCACCUGCUUCGGGAGCAGGGGGUCGCAAGUUCGAAUCUUGCUACUCCGACCA
rnacentral:tRNA from 4 species